GCCCCCAUCGUCUAAUGGUUAGGACAUCAGACUUUCAAUCUGACAACAAGAGUCCGAUUCUCUUUGGGGGUA
rnacentral:tRNA from 1 species